AUGUUGUCAUUGAGUGUGUCACUUAAGGUCUUAGACUGCAAAUCUAACCAUAUUUAAUGAAAUGUCUUACUGUACAAAAAGUCUAAGCCAAAGGUUCUCAGGGGAGAAAGCACAUGUGCAGUUUUAAAACAAAGCAGUGCUUUGUCCCAUUACUGUGAUUUUUAGUCAGACUUUACUCAGUCUGAAAUGCAAUUAACAUUAAAGGAUUAAGUGUGAGAUUUCGAUUUAUGCUAUUUGUGUAUCCCAUACUCCUCCCUUUUAAUAAACAGUUUCCACUGAUGAUAUGAAGGGCCGGUAUAAAGAAGUCUUUAAAUGAGUAAGCUUUCUUUGGUAAGAUUAAAUCUUACAAAUUAUUUUUAAAACCUUCUGAUAUAUACAAUGUUUAGCCGAGUUUUCUAAUUUUCUGGAUGUAAAACAAAAGGUUUAACCUAUACAUUCCUUGAGCUGUUAGUGCUAUUUAAAUCUUUUGCCCUGUUUAGGUCCUAAACACUUUUAGUUGAGUAGGAUAUGAGCUUUUUUGGGUCUCAUAUCAUGCUUUUUGCCUUAAUUUCAGGUAUAUAUAUAUAUAAAUAAAGGAAUUAAGUAAAAAUAAAAUUUCAGUUACUUUUUAAAAGCACCUGAAAUCUGGCCAGAUGCGGUGGCUCAUGCCUGUAAUCCCACCACUUUGGGAGGCCGAGGCGGGCAGAUCACCUGAGGUCAGGAGUUCAAGACCAGCCUGGCCAACAUGGUGAAACCCCAUCUCUACUAAAAAUACAAAAAUUAGCCGGGCGUGGUGUCAGGCGCCUGUAAUCCCAGCUACUCAGGAGGCUGAGGCAGGAGAAUCGCUUGAACCUGGGAGGCAGAGGUUGCAGUGAGCUGAGAUUGCACCAUUGUACUCCAGCCUGGGGGGGACAAGAGCGAGACUCCAUCUCAAAAAAAAAAAAAAAAAAAAAAAAAAAAAAAAAAAAAGCACCUGAAAUCUUGAAUAGGUUUUCUAUUUCAAGUCAAGAGCUGAGGUUUUCCCCUUCUGUUUUACCCUUGCUCAAAUGUCUUAAUGCAGUUCUUUCCCAAGCUUUCCCUGCUUCCUUAACAACGCAUAGGAUGACAUUAAAAGUUUUAAAUCUCAUCCCUGACUGAGAGGUUAGCUUCCUACAUAUAAGCUCCUUUUGUAUUGGACUUGUAAUUGCUCAUUCAGUGUUAGUAUUGCCCUGUAGAGUGUAAGCUCCUUGAGGGCCAAGAAUGCUUCUGCCUCUUCCAUUGUUGCUUCCCCAGUACCUUCUGUAUAUUUCAUAACCAAAUAAUGAAAAAGAUAUAUUCCAUUUAAAGGGCAUUGACUUUGGGUUAAAUGAUUGUUAUAUUGUUUUAGGAUUAUCUAUGAUACACUUUGACAUCUCACACACACACAUGAACUUUUCUUUUUACAAUGCAAAAGUUUAAACAAUAGCUUAAAUUUAGACUGCAAGAAUAUUAUAAUCUCAAUAUGGUAUUUGGUACUAGAGAUAGAUUUCUUUUAUAAAAUCUUAAAAACAGGACGUUCUCUUCCUUUUGAACCUUUAUCCCAGAGGUGAAAAUAUCCAAUAUGUUGUUUUCUGCAUAUAUUGAAGUAGUAGUUUCACUUUAAUAAAGAUGGAUUAAAAGUUG
rnacentral:sRNA from 1 species